rnacentral:rRNA from 1 species
GACGAACGCUGGCGGCGUGCUUCAUACAUGCAAGUCGAACGAGAAUCUGACUUCGGGUCAGAGGAAAGUGGCGGACGGGUGAGUAAUAUGUAGAAAAUCUGCCCUAGAGAGGGGGACGACAGAGGGAAACUUCUGCUAAUACCCCAUAUGAGCUACCUUGAAAUAGGUAUCUUGAAAACUCCGGUGCUCUGGGAUGAGUCUGCAUCUGAUUAGCUUGUUGGCGGGGUAAUGGCCCACCAAGGCGACGAUCAGUAGCUGGUUUGAGAGGAUGAUCAGCACAAUGGGACUGAGCACGGCCCAUAACUCCUACGGGAGGCAGCAGUAGGGAAUUUUGCGCAAUGGGCGAAAGCCUGACGCAGCAACGCCGCG